rnacentral:lncRNA from 1 species
AUCAAAAAAACCUUUCCCCUUCCCUUCUCAUUUGUAACUGCAUCUGUUGAAGAUUUUCUUCUGUUUGAGAACUUGGAACCCACAAGAUUUUGUGCUAAAAAAAUUCCUUCUAUUAACUGAGCUCCGCGGAGGCCUUGUUAUUUCUUAUUCGAACUCAGACCCUCAAAACUGUCGUCGACUCUAUAUCCUCAUUUUUCCUUUCUUUGUUCCUUUGUCUUUUUUGUUUAUUUUUUAGCUUUGUGAUUUUGGUGACUAUAGUUCCCAUAAAUAAGAAACCAAUGUUCUUUUUUGCGUUUUUGUGCCUUCAUUUCAUACCCCUUUUGAUCCUUCUGAAUGAAUGGUUCGUCCUCCCUCGAAGCUUCUUCCACCCAAAAGGUCGACAAAUCCCUUCCUCUUCCCCACACUGCCAUCGUAUGUGCUGCUUUAUUUGCUUCCCGAGGUAUGUGUCGAUACAUAAGACUUCUAAAGUUUCUUGCUUUGCUUAUCAUUUCAUUAAUAAUUCUUCCGAUAACUGACCGAUCAAUAUAAUCAUCAUUUUUUGGAAGCUUUUUGACGACAGUCAAUGAAUCUCCUUCUAAAAUGAUGUAUUGAAACCCUAGGUCUUCUGCGAAAGCUACUCCGUGAGGGCAUGCAUAGGCUUCUGUUAUUGUUGGAUCUCGUAUGUUCUCAAUCGGGUAGGUGCAUGAAGCAUUACAAAACCUUUGUUAUUUCUUACUAUAAUUCCAAAAACUGCCCUAUUAUUUGGCUUUUGAAAACUACUGUCAAAAUUAACUUUAACUUGGUCUUCUAAUGAGGGUUUCCAUUAUGGAUAUUAUAUUCUGUGGUUGCUUACAAGAAUAUUGUCCAACAUUUUAAUUUCAUUAAUAAAGGCUUUGAUGAAACUUAUGAUGUCGUUAAUACUUUUCGAACACCUUAAUGAUAAAACAAGUUUCUAUUGUGCCAAAUCGCCCAAAAUGAGAUUGCUAAGCAUAUUCUCUGUUCUAUAUUAUUUUACUUAAAAGUAUCGGCUAACCAAAAUUUCCACUCUGUGUUUUCACGCAUGGUUGUGAUUUGAAACAUCCAUUUUCUAG